rnacentral:lncRNA from 1 species
AUAUUUUCUCUAUGCUUUUCUUUGUGAAGGCCUUGAGGUUGCAUUUAUGAGAUUUUAGAAAAACUUGUUUUUCAUAAAAUCUGCUUGUGAUUACUAGCUAUAUCUGCAUCUAGAUGUCCUAAAUCAUAUAUAUCAUUCUAGAUCUAGAGUUUAGAUUUUAAGAUUGAUUUUCUCCAAGAAUGGUUUCUUGAGAAAAUUGAUCCUUUCUUAAAUCUACAUUUCAUCAAUGCAUUUGUUUGAGUAGUGUUGUGCUACUGGUGCCAUGAGAUGAUUGAGCUGAAGGAUAAAGCUUCCAUUGUCAUGAUAGACUAGCUGCAAGCAACGUUGUUGAGAAGAAGAAGAUAGCUUGGAGAGGUAUAGCUGCUCCUUUAUAGAACUAAGAAACUUGAGAUGUAUCUGUUGAUCUUUGUAACUAUUUCUUCUUGUUAGUGGAUUGCCAAGUCAGAGUGAUGACCCCCAGUUUUUCCUAGGGGAGGGUUUUUGGGUAAACAUUUUUGCUGUGUUGUUCUUGCUGUUAUGAUUAGUCAUACUAUACAUGUUGUUGCUGAAAUGCUGAUGAGUGAUUCUCACACACCUAUUACUCUAGUUGUUGCUAGCACAAAGGAUGCCUAGAUUGACGAGUCCUUCUGAGUGCCUAGGUUGUCACGUAGUCUUUUUCUAAAUCUGCGAGGGGU